rnacentral:rRNA from 1 species
AACGAACGCUGGCGGCAUGCCUAACACAUGCAAGUCGAACGAGACCUUCGGGUCUAGUGGCGCACGGGUGCGUAACGCGUGGGAACCUGCCCUUAGGUUCGGAAUAACUCGCCGAAAGGGGUGCUAAUAACGGAUAAUGUCUUCGGACCCAAGAUUUAUCGCCUUUGGAUGGGCCCGCGUUGGAUUAGCUAGUUGGUAGGGUAAAAGCCUACCAAGGCGAAGAUCCAUAGCUGGUCUGAGAGGAUGAUCAGCCACACUGGGACUGAGACACGGCCCAGACUCCUACGGGAGGCAGCAGUGGGGAAUAUUGGACAAUGGGCGAAAGCCUGAUCCAGCAAUGCCGCGUGAGUGAUGAAGGCCUUAGGGUUGUAAAGCUCUUUUACCCGGGAUGAUAAUGACAGUACCGGGAGAAUAAGCUCCGGCUAACUCCGUG